UACUUUUUCAAUUUUGUUUUGCCUGCAGCGCACCUUCAUGAGGGUUUGGGGCUCAGUAAAUUUCUCUGUCGCUCAUCGAAAUUGUGAAUGCACGUUUUUGCUUUUAUUUCUCUUCUCUCCGCCCCCGCCCCGUGUGAAACAAGCCUGGCAAAGCUACUGGUGUCAGCUCAGUGAAUUUCUCUUGCAUCCAUUGAAAUUGUGAAUAUAAUUUUUUUAUUGUUUCCACCCCCCCCCCCGAUUCUGUGUGUUCGCUCAGUGAAUUUCUCUUACAUUCACAAUUUCGAUGGAUGCAUUUUUAUUUGCCCCAAAUUCUGUGUGCAGCAAAACCUGGCCAAGGCCGCCGGUGUCAACUCAGUCAAUUUCCCUCGCAUCCAUCGAAACUGUAAAUCUCCCGUUUUGUUUUGUUUUGUUUUGCUUUUCUUUUCUGUGUUGCAGCAAACUAAUGAGUGCUCGAUGUCAGCCCCGUAAAUUUCAGCUGCGGUGGUCAGAAUCAGAAAUCCUCUAUUUUGCUGAUUAUUUUUUUUCCCUGUGUGAGCGCACCAAACGUGCUUGUGACAGAUUGGUAAAUUUCACUUAACAUCCAUCAAAAUUGUGAACCCGUUUUUGCUCCUUUUGUUUUUGUGUGCAGCAAAUCUACUGAGGGGUGCCCAGUAAAUUUCUCUUGGGAUUCAGCAAAAUUGUGAAUCCCAUAUUUGCUCAAAUUACCUUUUCUGUGUGUAUGUGUAGCAAACCUAGUGAGAUGCUUUUGUCAGACCAGUAAUUUGUUUUUACAUUCAUCGAAAUUGCAAUUUCCUCUUUUAUUUGCUCAUUUUUAAAAGUGCAGUGUGUCUGUGCAGUGAGCCUAGUUAGGUGCUUGCGUCAGCUCGUAAAUUUAUCUCGCACUAACUGAAAUUGUGAAUCCCCUUUUUGGUCUUAUUUUUGUGUACGCGGCAAACCUCAUGAUGUGGUUGUGUUAGCCCAGUAAAUUCCUCUUGCACUUUCUUAUUUUGGUCAAGUUGUCAUACUUAAAAGUAUGCCAGAAGGGCAAAACAGUUUAAAAACAACCAGUAUUAGUGGGAAAUGAAUGUACUGGUCGUACUGGAGCAUUGCCGGUGAAGAAUACGAAGGCCGUGGUAGCUGUAAUAUUGCCACUGUCUCGUUAGAGAGAGAGUUGUAUGGUGGUCGUUUAAUCUGAGGGUCACCACGCUUCAGACAAGGGGAGAGAUUGGGAAGAGGCCCAGUGAUGUUGUUCUGUUCCUGUUUCUGAGUCAGGAGCUCCAGCAUGCCGAAAUCUUUAAAGAAAAAGCCUUCUACAUCUGUCUGGGGCACUUUCACAUACAUUCCCUGUGUCUUUGCCUGAUGGUUGGAUGCUGCCUCCGUCUGUUUCCUAUUGACUCCUUAACCUUCAACAAACCAUGAACCAUGCUGUGAUGCCUCCAAUGCUGAGCUAAAGUCACCCCCUUGGCUGUACAGAAUGAUCUGGACUCCAAACAGCCCUCAGCCUGCACAUCUGCUGCUUCCUGGCCAAAGUCCAUGAUAUGGAAUAGCUUAGAUGAAGUAAUGGACUGGUGACUGCAUGAAAUAUUUUUACAAAGUAUUUUCUUCGUUUUCCUAUUCCCUCCCUGCCCCAAACCUCCUUCUCCCUCCCUAAACCCUCCUGCAUCCCUCUUCAACCCCACUUCUGACUCCCUCAGGUUGACACCACCACCUCAGAGCACACAGUUAAAACUCCCAGACCUGUUAGAAGGCCAUUCCAGUCUGUGCAAAAGAUUCCUCAUCCUAGUGGUUCUUGGCACCUCCAUCAGCACCCAGACCCCUGCUCCUGCACUUCAGCUGUUUGACCUUGACUCUCCCCUGCCAACUGCUGGCUGUGGUUCCUGGCAAAAUACUCCCAUGAUGAUUCCCUGACUUCCGUAGCUGAUGGUUGCCAAUCGUGUCACAGGCUUCUUCUCUCCUGCCUUAGCCUUGCUUGUAAGCAGAACAGCAGCAAGCACAGGAGAGAAUCAUUCCUACCAUUUCCCUCCAUUGGAAAGUACAGGCUGUUUUAUGACUGGUCUGAUCCUCUGGAACUGGAACCCCACCAGGAGAAGACUUGCCUACCGGAGAAGGAUAGGUGAAAAUUGAGUUUGUACCUCACUAGGGUGUGGGCAAAAUACAUCAAAUAGUUUUAGUUACAAACAAUAAGGAAACUAUGCCUGAGAAUUUAUUUUAAAAAAUUGAAGCAAGAAGAUGUACGUUCUGACAGUAGUUUUAAUGAAAGUGAGAAAAUACAUAGCAGUGUUAUACGAAUGCACAUUUAUUAGAGCUGAAUACAAUUUCCGCUGGACUUUGUAUCAAAAAACACAAUCAGUUUCCUUCAGCAUCAAGUAUAGAGGUAAGAAACAGGAAACAGUGUACGGACCUGUACAACAUUCAGCAGUUACAUGCAGACAAGGUUUUUUCCUGUUUCGUUUACUGUACAGAAAUGUUAAAAAGAACAACAUUUUGUAAAAAAUUACUUUACCCUCUCUUUCCAACCCAAUUUACUUUGCAUGUCGUAGCACCUUAGAAUGACAUAGUUGGUUAUUCGUGAAUUAAUUUAUUAAAUGGACCUGCUACAUCUUUCAUUUCUGAAGAGCAGUUGCUGGUUUUCUGUGCCAUUGUCUUGGUUGCGUUAAAGUUAAGACAGCAGCUAGGUACCAUACCUUACCAGAAUAUGGAUACCUUAUGCCAAAUUACACAUACCUGUACACAAGUAUGUGCACAUUUAUUUUAUGUAUGUACAAAUCCCUUGGCAAAAAUAAUAUCUACGUUUAAAAAAUACACAAAAAGAAAGAAGAAAAUAUGAUAUAAAACUGUAAUAUUCAUUAAAAUAUCUCAGUUUUCUCAAUUUGUAGAUUACUUAUAAUUGCCUCCAGCAGAAAUGUAAUUACAUCAUUUAAAUGAUGUUGCCUUCAGACAGGUAUAUAUGCUCUUUUUUUAAAAUGAAAACAUUUCGCCAUAGUGUGCGAUUUUCCCGAGGUGACACGUGUCAUUUAUUCAAAAGCCAUUGCUUUUGACUUGGCCUGUGGUAUCAUUUCAUUUUUAAAGUUUUUUUUAUUUUGAUUUAUGCUGACCCCAUUGGUAAAUAAUGAGGAUUCCAAAAAACAUGAAGUUUGAAUACUUGCCUCUUUUUUAAGGUUUUUUUUUCAGAUCGUCAGAGUCUAAAUGUCAUAUCAAUGUGGUGCAGCUUCUAAUUCAACCCUAAUUUAAUAUUAAUCAGAUUUAUACAGCCAGUUACAUAAACUUCUGUCUGUCAAUCAUAUGCAUCAGGAAGUAAAUAGAGAUUGAGGAUUGUAGGAAGUGUCUGGAAAGCACUUAUUGGCGGUUGAUGGGUAAAAUGAGUAGAUGGAUGCUGAUGGAACUGCAAACCUGACUUGAAAUUUGUGAAUAAGCUGAUCUGCAUCGAGUUACUGCAGCUCUUAGCAAGCUGCCACUAGCCCAUCAGCAAUUGGUUACAUCAUUUACUAAAAUGAGAAUAUCUUGGGUGAUCCCUUUUGAUGGCUGAGUACAUAUCUCUGUUGGCUUUCUGCUUGCUGAAGUUGUAUUACAGGGUCACUGUGAUUUGGAGUCUGGUUUAAACAAUAAAUAAAAAUCAAGAAAUCAACUGCUUUUGGAGAAUUUUCUAGUACAUAAAUGUUCAGCUGCAACUUCACAGAAUAUCAUUUUUGAUGGCAAUUUAUGGAGUAGCAGUGAAGUUUUGUCUGAAAAUAAUGAAAGUUAAUAAGAGCUCUCACUUUA